rnacentral:rRNA from 1 species
UACAGAGGUCCCGAGCGUUGUUCGGAUUUAUUGGGCGUAAAGGGUGCGUAGGCGGUGGAGUAAGUUGGGUGUGAAAUCCCGGGGCUCAACCUCGGAAUUGCAUUCAAUACUGCUUCGCUCGAGUACUGGAGAGGAGGCUGGAAUUUACGGUGUAGCGGUGAAAUGCGUAGAUAUCGUAAGGAAGGCCGGUGGCGAAAGCGAGCCUCUGGACAGUUACUGACGCUGAUGCACGAAGGCCAGGGGAGCAAACGGG